rnacentral:rRNA from 1 species
GAUGAACGCUGGCGGCGUGCCUAAUACAUGCAAGUCGAGCGAAUGGAUUAAGAGCUUGCUCUUAUGAAGUUAGCGGCGGACGGGUGAGUAACACGUGGUAACCUGCCCAUAAGACUGGGAUAACUCCGGGAAACCGGGGCUAAUACCGGAUAACAUUUUGAACCGCAUGGUUCGAAAUUGAAGGGCGGCUUCGGCUGUCACUUAUGGAGGGAACCGCGUCGCAUUAGCUAGUUGGUGAGGUAACGGCUCACCAAGGCAACGAUGCGUAGCCGACCUGAGAGGGUGAUCGGCCACACUGGGACUGAGACACGGCCCAGACUCCUACGGGAGGCAGCAGUAGGGAAUCUUCCGCAAUGGACGAAAGUCUGACGGAGCAACGCCGCGUGAGUGAUGAAGGCUUUCGGGUCGUAAAACUCUGUUGUUAGGGAAGAACAAGUGCUAGUUGAAUAAGCUGGCACCUUGACGGUACCUAACCAGAAAGCCACGGCUAACUACGUGCCAGCCGCCGCAGUAA